AAACUUUCAACAACGGAUCUCUUGGUUCUGGCAUCGAUGAAGAACGCAGCGAAAUGNGAUAAGUAGUGNGAAUNGCAGAAUUCAGUGAAUCAUCAAAUCUUUGAACGCACAUUG
rnacentral:rRNA from 1 species